rnacentral:rRNA from 1 species
UCACUCUAGCGAGACUGCCGAGGUCAACUCGGAGGAAGUGGGGAUGACGUCAAAUCAUCAUGCCCCUUAUGUUCUGGGCUACACACGUGCUACAAUGGUCGGUACAAUGAGAUGCAAUACUGCGAAGUGGAGCGAAACACCAAAACCGAUCCCAGUUCGGAUUGUAGGCUGCAACUCGCCUACAUGAAGUCGGAGUUGCUAGUAAUCGCAGAUCAGAAUGCUGCGGUGAAUGCGUUCCCGGGUCUUGUACACACCGCCCGUCACACCAUGGAAGUUGGGGGUGCCCAAAGUCGGUUAAUUAAUCUAUCGCCUAAGGCAAAACCAAUGACUGGGGUGAAGUCGUAACAAGGUAACCGUAA